GAUGAACGCUGGCGGCGUGCCUAAUACAUGCAAGUCGAGCGAACAGAUAAGGAGCUUGCUCCUUUGACGUUAGCGGCGGACGGGUGAGUAACACGUGGGUAACCUAUCUAUAAGACUGGAAUAACUCCGGGAAACCGGGGCUAAUGCCGGAUAACAUGUUGAACCGCAUGGUUCUACAGUGAAAGGCGGCUUUGCUGUCACUUAUAGAUGGACCCGCGCCGUAUUAGCUAGUUGGUGAGGUAACGGCCUACCAAGGCAACGAGUCGUAGCCGACCUGAGAGGGUGAUCGGCCACACGGGAACUGAGACACGGUCCAGACUCCUACGGGAGGCAGCAGUAGGGAACCUUCCGCAAAGGGCGAAAGCCUGACGGAGCAACGCCGCGUGAGUGAUGAAGGUCUUCGGAUCGUAAAACUCUGUUAUUAGGGAAGAACAAAUGCGUAAGGAACUGUGCGCGUCUUGACGGUACCUAAUCAGAAAGCCACGGCUAACUACGUG
rnacentral:rRNA from 1 species